rnacentral:lncRNA from 1 species
UUUGGACAAUGUUUUUAUUUUUUUGGCGGGAAAGAUCAGACAUCUUUCACAACAGAGCACAGCCACCUUGAAGCUGGGGAAGGGGCUGUUUCUGAAGCUCAGGGCUUCCCCGUCCAGUUUCUCCACCCAGAGAUCAUCUCAGUGUGACAGCCUCUUCCCACCCCAAUACACCGUCCUCUGGGGAGGAAGAAAUAAAAGCAAGCGCAUUCCAGAUGUUCCCGGGAAAAUGGUAUUUGGGAAAAGGAUGUUUGUUUAGAAUUUACCAAAAAUAGAGAGCCCCAAAGGAGGAAAAGGCAAGCUCUUGACCCAUUUAAAAAGCCAUUUCCCAGGAAGGACUUUCUAACAAACAAUGUCACAAAAAGAAAAGCUAAUAGCUUUGACAAUAUAAUAAUAUAAAGCUUUGGUACAUUCAAAGCCUCCAAAAGCAAAAAUUAAGCAACACAUAUAUGCAACAGAUAUCAAAAUGACAACAUACAGAGAGCUCAUCAAAUGAUUUUUAAAUAAAUCCAUCAAAACCUUGUUAGGAAAACAGGCAAAGAAAACAGAUAAUCAACCAAGAAAGUUUUAAACGGCUUAAUAAGUAUGAACAUUUGCGUUUCGUUAAUAAUCGUAUCAAUUAUAAUUUUGAAAUACCAUUAUUUCUCUUUCAGAUCAUGAGACUGGCUUUAUUGGUGUUACCAUAAGCUGGUGUAGACCGUAACACCAGCCCUCUCAAACCUGGGCUGAGGGUGGCAUAUCAGUCAGGGGCAACUCUUUUGGAAACAUUUUGGCAACACAUAUCAAGGAUAUUUAACUACAAAAUGUAAAUGUCUUGAAAUUUUCUCUGAGGAAAUAUUGAGAAAUUCAGACCAAAAAACUGUGUACAAAGAUGAUUGAUAAAGGGGGUAUUGAAUAGUAAAACAUGGAAGCCAAGAUGUUCUACAAUAGGUGAAUAAAUACAUUAUGAUAUGUCUGUACGAUCAUAGGACACAGUCAUUUAAAGUGGUCUUUUUGAAGAAUGUUUAUGCAAAGGAAAAGAAACGAAAGUGAAAAAAGGAGGCUGCAAAGCGUACGAGCCCACUCUUAGGAAGCAUGUAUAGAGGAAUGAAUGACAUAGCUACAUAGAAACAUGAUGGCCAUCAACCACGCCCAUCUGUGGCAGGGAGAGCAAGACCCUGACCCCAUCCCCUGCUCUCCUGAGGAUGGUAGGGAUGCCACAAGCCCAUUUAGUGUUUCAGAGGGUAGAGGUGAGGCUGGGAACCUGGGAAGAGCCUGGCGAAAGGUUGACGGGGAGAGGGCAAGAGAGCAGGAUGUUUGUGUUCACCAAUGACAGUGGCCAUGGUCCCAUGGUAGGUCAGUGGCCCAGAAAGUAUCAGAGACCAUGGAUUAAGAAUCAGACCACUGUGCACUCGGGAGGCCGAGGGGAUGUCAUGCAUGGGCAGCUCUGUUCUGGGAAAGAAAUCUUCUCCCUGUCUCAACGUCCGGGCCUCUUCCACCAACCAUCUGGCUGUUCCACAAUCUCCUCCACCCAGGACAUGGACACUUAUCCCCACCCCAGGACAUGGGACACCUU